GCAGGGUUAGUAUAUCGGUAAUACAGCGGCUUCCCAAGCCGCGGAGGCGGGUUCGACUCCCGUACCCUGCU
rnacentral:tRNA from 2 species